rnacentral:lncRNA from 1 species
AUUGACCCCUGGUGACCCCAAGGGAGACACCAACCCUCUCUCCGAGCCCCUCCCCAACCCAGCUCAGCUCAACAAAGUGCACCCCAGAGGGGGCCACAGCCAAGACAGAGCUCCCUGAAAUGGCCCAGGCACUUCAGCCAUGAUGUACCUCUGCACAAUAGCCGGAAGAGCAAUGGGACCAAUCAGUUAUGGACCAGGCCCUGAGAAACUGUGAGCCCGAGAAAACCUUUUCCUCUCAUGAGCCUGUCUCUCUCCAGUAUUCAUUAUACUGACAGGAAGCUGA